rnacentral:rRNA from 1 species
ACGGCGACCGGCGCACGGGUGAGUAACACGUAUGCGACCUGCCCGUAGCAGGGGGAUAAGCGGAAGAAAUUCCGUCUAAUACCGCGUAAUAUCUUUCGGGGGCAUCCCUGAGGGAUUAAAGGAAGCGAUUCCGGCUACGGAUGGGCAUGCGGCGCAUUAGCUAGUCGGCGGGGUAACGGCCCACCGAGGCGACGAUGCGUAGGGGUUCAGAGAGGAAGGUCCCCCACACUGGUACUGAGGCACGGACCAGACUCCUACGGAAGGCAGCAG